UACGAAGGGGGCUAGCGUUGCUCGGAAUUACUGGGCGUAAAGGGCGCGUAGGCGGACAGUUUAGUCAGAGGUGAAAGCCCAGGGCUCAACCUUGGAAUUGCCUUUGAUACUGGCUGUCUUGAGUUCGGGAGAGGUGAGUGGAACUGCGAGUGUAGAGGUGAAAUUCGUAGAUAUUCGCAAGAACACCAGUGGCGAAGGCGGCUCACUGGCUCGAUACUGACGCUGAGGUGCGAAAGCGUGGGGAGCAAACAGG
rnacentral:rRNA from 1 species